GAUGAAGAACGCAGCGAAAUGCGAUAAGUAGUGUGAAUUGCAGAAUUCAGUGAAUCAUCGAAUCUUUGAACGCACAUUGUGCCCCUUGGUAUUCCAUGGGGCAUGCCUGUUCGAGCGUCAUUUGUACCUUCAAGCUCUGCUUGGUGUUGGGUGUUUGUCUCGCCUCUGCGUGUAGACUCGCCUCAAAAUAAUUGGCAGCCGGCGUAUUGAUUUCGGAGCGCAGUACAUCUCGCGCUUUGCACUCAUAACGACGACGUCCAAAAGUACAUUUUUACACUCUUGACCUCGGAUCAGGUAGGGAUACCCGCUGAACUUAAGCAUAUCAAUAAGCGGAGGA
rnacentral:misc_RNA from 1 species